rnacentral:rRNA from 1 species
CUGCAGCUCAAGUGGUGACCAUUAUUAUUGGGCCUAAAACGUUCGUAGCCUGCUAAGUAAAUGCCUGGGUAAAUCGUGUAGCUUAACUAUACGAAUUCCGGGUAGACUGCUAAGCUUGAGACCGGGAGAGGCUAGAGGUACUCCUGGGGUAGAGGUGAAAUUCUGUAAUCCUAGGGGGACCACCAGUGGCGAAGGCGUCUAGCUAGAACGGGUCUGACGGUGAGGGACGAAGCCCUGGGGCACAAACCGGAUUAGAUACCCGAGUAGUCC